CCCUCUUGAGAGCUGAGUGUGUUUACCGACGUGGUAUGAAAGUCGAUUAAGCAAUGAAGUAACUCACUCAAAGUUAAUGUUGUGUUAACAUGUGUUAAUGCAAACUUUAUUGUAACCAUAUAAAAUCACAGGGUGGAUUAAAAAACAGAGAACACUGUGCCGUUCCUGUCGGAGAAAUGAGACCAGACGCCAUUUUUCAGUUCAAAGCUAAUUCAUUGCACUGGUCAGGUUCUUUUGGUUGGAUUAAUUCUCCCGAGACGAGCUGAGACUUUGGAGGAGAUCUCAGAGCCGUUGGAGAAGAUUUGAGAGACGAUUCCAGAGAGAACCUUUUUCAGUGCUGGAUGGCGAGCCCAGCCCACAUAAUACCGAACCUGUGAUACCGAGCCUGAUGCCUGCAAUAAGGAGGCGGUGAACUAGGGAACACUCAAGUAUUCCAUGCCUACUUCAAGUGUGCUCCACACUGAGCUGCCUCUCGUGUCCUCACCUUGCUGAGCUCCUGCAGCUCCCAGCUGAGCCUGAACGCAG